rnacentral:rRNA from 1 species
CAGCAGCCACGGGAAUACGUAGGUGGCGAGCGUUGUCCGGAAUUAUUGGGCGUAAAGGGAGCGCAGGCGGACAUAUAAGUCCAUCUUAAAGGUGCGGGGCUCAACCCCGUGAGGGGAUGGAAACUGUAUGCCUUGAGUGCAGGAGAGGAAGGCGGAAUUCCCAGUGUAGCGGUGAAAUGCGUAGAUAUUGGGAGGAACACCAGUGGCGAAGGCGGCUUUCUGGACUGUAACUGACGCUGAGGCUCGAAAGCCAGGGGAGCGAACGGGAUUAGAUACCCCUGUAGUCCCUGUCUCUUAUACA